rnacentral:rRNA from 1 species
UACGUAGGGGGCUAGCGUUGUCCGGAUUUAUUGGGCGUAAAGAGCGUGUAGGCGGCCUGGUAGGUCUGCUGUGAAAACUGGAGGCUUAACCUCCAGACGUCGAUGGAAACCGUAUGGCUAGAGUCCGGAAGAGGAGAGUGGAAUUCCUGGUGUAGCGGUGAAAUGCGCAGAUAUCAGGAGGAACACCGAUGGCGAAGGCAGGUCUCUGGGCCGCAACUGACGCUGAGGAGCGAAAGCAUGGGGAGCGAACAGG